UUUUAGUGGAGCUGUGAGUGAGCUGAUGAGAGGAUAAGGUUUUCUUUUUUUGUUUUUUUAUGUGAUAGAUCCGUUGGGAUUUUUUUCCUUUUUGUUUUAUUCACUUAUUUGUUGCUUUUUUUUAUUUAAGAAAAAGAGGAUCCAAUGUCUAAAUAUAUAUAUUUUCAUAAUUAUUAAAUAACAAAUCAUAAAAAUAAAGUUAAUUAAUAUUUAAUUUAAACUAACUAAUAUUUAAUUAAAUAUCUAACCAAAAAUGUUGACCUAUUAAAAAUAGAAAUUGAGUACAAAUUUAAUCGAAAAAAAUGAACCGGUCA
rnacentral:lncRNA from 1 species